ensembl:antisense Gm29430 predicted gene 29430
GAAAAAAAAACAUUCAUACAUAGAGGAGCUGAGCUUUUGCUGUGGGAAGCAUUGUGGGUCUGCUCUGAUAAGAGACUGAGGAGCGGGGGUGGGGGUNNNNNGGGCGGGGGAGGUAUACUUCUCCCAGCCUCCUGGUGCAAAGUCCCAAACCUGGGGAAGAGUUUGGUGCAAGGCUUACCUCCAAAGAUGUUUAAAUCUGAACCAGGAAUGGUCUCCAGUUCCAGGUGCUCAGGGAAUCUUUUUUUCCAGUGUCCAGGCACUCUGCAGAGAAAUAAACACCAGAGGGAAAUGGCCAAGGUGCCUCCAAAUAGCUUUUUGACAUCAGGAAAUGGCAGAGAAUGGUACCAGCUUGUUAGUCCUCUGCUUGUUAGUCCUGUGCAGGACUUUUGCUUCUAUAGCCCUGACCCUAAACUACUCACUCGCCAUUUGCCAACCUGCUCCAAACCAGCCCUGUGUAGGUUUAUCCUACCCCUAUGCAAUCCGGCUGGCAGCCAGCAAAGAACCACCAAGAAGCUAGGGAGUUGCCUGACUCUUGGCUUGGGAGCCUCCUAGACCGCUGAGGGGGUAGCAGCAAACUGGCAGCUGCCUUCUGCCACAACUCCACCCGCAGCCUUUGCCCUGCACAAGGGUGCUUAGGGCCAGCCAGCAUCCUCGCUGGGCCCCUUUGUUUUGUCAAACUCCUACUUUUCCAGGGGAGAGCCCCCUGGUCUUGAGACUCCUGGUGCCAUCCUGAUCAAGGUGGGGUCUAGCUGCUACUUACUUGGCUACUCAACUUCAUCCCAGAAAGAUCUGUGCCCCGGUUCUCACCCCCUCCCCCUCCUCUUACCCCCUCCUCCUCUUCCUCCUACUCCUCCUCCACCACCACCAUCACAAGCACAAGGCUUAGGAGCAUUGUAAUUAUUAUGGUUAUUAUUGUUGUUGCUAUCUUUUUUAUUCUCAAGUCUAAUAUUCAUGAUUCCUGUUUCCCAUAAAUCCUUCAGACUAAUGAGUCACAGAGAGACGCUGCUCGAGUCUCUUGCUCUGCAAUGGCUGCAGCCGUUGUUGUGGCCUCUCUCCGCGUUUUUUUUUUGUUUUUUUUUUUUUUUUUUUUUGGCGUCUACUUGCUCCCUCGCUCGCCUAGCGCUGGUGAUUUAUGAACGCCGGGAAAAAUUGAACAAAGCCGCGUGCUCCUCCUGUGGUAUCUCUGAAGCCUUCCCCAGCGUGAAUCAGAACAUUACCAACUGUCUGCGCUUCUGUCCCACUUCAUCACCAAAACCAGGAUAUGACCGGAAAAAAAAAAAAGUCUGAGCCGGAACUCACAUUUCCCUGGACACAGCCUCCCUGGACUCCCAGCAGCCUUGCAAGAAAGCCUUUGACCCGGCGAUCGCCAGACAGCUCUGUUCUCCACGUGGAAGGGCUCUUGCCCGAAGGAGUUAAACGCUUUUGGAGAUAAAUCUGAAGGUGUGUGUAUUUAAAAAUCAAAUAGGAAGGACACACACGGUUCUAUGCCUUACAGAGACUUGAAGCCUGAAAGCCUGGCCAAGUUUGGGAAGAAGAGGAGCCCUCUCAGGGCUCAAGAGCCUUCCCGCUUUUUGGAACACUUCCACAGUGGGUCAAGCUUGGCAAGAAUUCAGACCAAGUUAAACACACACACACACACACACACACACAUUGUGAGUGUGCUUAGAAUGUGACCCCAGCUCACCCUGUCUACAAGGCUUCUGCGCACUAGGUCAAGUAUCUCAACCAAGAGGAGGCUUGGGGUAGUUUGGUUUGGUUUGGUUUUUAAGCUUAGAACACACACAAAUCUGUCUCUUAGGUUUUUAAUGUCUUAUAAACUGAAGUUUAUUCUUAGCACAUUCCUCUUUAUACAACCAUAUCUCUCUGUACAGUUGUAAGUGAGUCUAAAUGCAUUUCCCUCUCCCCAACGCUGUGCCCCAGUAUAAGACAACAAUAUCUCUCUAACAGUAUCUUAAAUAAAUGCAAGGAGAGGAAACUACAUGCCACACCUACCAUCAAGGUCUACACACUUUGAAAAUUAAAUAAUCUGGUGAGGUCCACAAA